GGGCCUUUUGUUUACAACCAGUAUUCAGCUCAGAUACAGCGACACCCGCCGCUAGAAUUUUAGGGUUUCAUGUUCUUCUUCAACAAUAAUUUUCUUCUUCGAUCUCUGAUAGAUCCCUGGAAUUUUGAUGUCUUUCUAUCCACAUCUUCGAUCAAGCGUUCUGUUUUUCCAUCUCUCUCUCUUCUCUUCUUGGGAGAUGCAACAGUUGUAAUACGUCGAUAUUUCUGGAUGGGUUUCCUCGAGUCUAAGAUCCGAAUCAAAGGAUUCAGAUCAGAGGCAAUGAACUGGAUGAAGACAGGAGUUGAAUAACACUGUUCUUAGCUCAGGCCACCAUGAUGCCGGUCACCGUGAAUGUCAACCGGCUUGCUGCUGAAUCUGAAGGCAGGUUCAAUAUAUUCCCUAAUCGGUUUCGAUGUGACCGGUGUAAUCAGAAUUACGGUCUGUCGGACUCCUCUAUGUUGAUCCGUUUCAGUAACUAAAUUUUGAUGAUUUCCCCAACCGUCUGUUCUGAUAGGAGUUUAAUCUUUCCGGUUCCGAAAUCACAGCGAGAUGCUUGGCCUUGCCAACACAAACACUCAGAUUCCGGGUAAUGAUACUCUUAUUUGUUCAUUUGUCUAGACGGAAUAUAUAGAAGCCAUUUUGAUUCCUGUUGGUGGAAUGUCACACGCUAGACUUGACGUUGUUUGGGAUCCACUCAACGAAGUAGGACUAGAGAAGCUCCGGCUUGUGGUAGUGACUAUGAGAUCAAUGUUGGAUUUAGUGAAAAUGAUCAAAGAAAAAGCUAACAAGAAGAAGAAGGACAAGAAAGAAGAGAGUUUAAUGAACGAAUUAGUUAAACCGUUAGAGAGAAGAUGUUUAUACCCCAGCUGUUGGAAUGCAGUUUGAAUCAUGUGUUCUGGGAAGAUGCUUUAUGUCUCUUGCAUUUAUUUUGGUGACAUCGACAAUACUUAUAAUAUCCGGAAACUUCUCAGUAUAUCAUGAGCUAUAUUACAUUCUCAUACUGUUAUUUUCUUCUUCUUUUUCUGUUUGAUUUAGUGAUUAAUGGUGGGAACUAUGUGUUCUAUCAUUGCAGUUUUGUAUAUCUGCUAGCCAUAUUAUCUUAUGAGAGUUGGUAAAUUUAGAUAUUAACAAUUACUGGCAGAUAUACAUUGAGUAGUCACAAUUUUAUGCCA